AACGGCUAUACCAUGCUGAAUAUACCGGUUCUUGUUCGAUCACCGAAGUCAAGCAUCAUCGGGCGUGGUCAGUACUUGGGAGGGUGACCCCCUGGGAACACCGCGUGCCGUU
rnacentral:rRNA from 1 species